GACGAACGCUGGCGGCGUGCUUAACACAUGCAAGUCGAACGGAAAGGCCCCCUUGUGGGGUACUCGAGUGGCGAACGGGUGAGUAACACGUGAGUAACCUACCCUUGACUUUGGGAUAACUUCAGGAAACUGGGGCUAAUACCGGAUAGGAGCUCCUGCUGCAUGGUGGGGGUUGGAAAGUUUCGGCGGUUGGGGAUGGACUCGCGGCUUAUCAGCUUGUUGGUGGGGUAGUGGCUCACCAAGGCUUUGACGGGUAGCCGGCCUGAGAGGGUGACCGGCCACAUUGGGACUGAGAUACGGCACAGACUCCUACGGGAGGCAGAAGUGGGGAAUAUUGCACAAUGGGCGGAAGCCUGAUGCAGCAACGCCGCGUGCGGGAUGACGGCCUUCGGGUUGUAAACCGCUUUCGCCUGUGACGAAGCGUGAGUGACGGUAAUGGGUAAAGAAGCACCGGCUAACUACGUG
rnacentral:rRNA from 1 species